rnacentral:tRNA from 1 species
GCGAGUGUGGCGGAAUCGGUAGACGCACAAGACUUAAAAUCUUGCGGGCUUUUGCCCGUGCCGGUUCGAUUCCGGCCAUUCGCACCA